rnacentral:lncRNA from 1 species
CCAGGUUCCCCAGGGGUGGGGGGUAAAGGGCUUUGACAUUUCCACCCCACCAGGAAUUUCAUUUGAGCUGAUCUCUGCAACAUAGAUCUCAAGAUCCCAAGUAUGUCCUGCCCUCUUUUGUCCUGGUGUCCCCAAGAGAGAGAAGAAACAGAGUCCCCAGGCAUCUGGUAAGAGCCCAAAGCUGCCUGUCCCAGGCUCAAGAUAUCUCCAAGGAUUAACUUCAAAUCCAAUUCUUUCACAGACAUGGGCUGAUACGGUUUGGCUCUGUGUACCCAAAUCUCAUUUUAAGUUGUAAUCCCCACGUAUCAGAGGAAGCACCAGGUGGGAGGUAAUUGGAUCAUAGGGGCAGUUUC